UACGUAGGGUGCGAGCGUUGUCCGGAAUUAUUGGGCGUAAAGGGCUCGUAGGCGGUCUGUCACGUCGGGAGUGAAAACUCAGGGCUUAACCCUGAGCCUGCUUCCGAUACGGGCUUACUAGAGGUAUGCAGGGGAGAACGGAAUUCCUGGUGUAGCGGUGAAAUGCGCAGAUAUCAGGAGGAACACCGGUGGCGAAGGCGGUUCUCUGGGCAUUACCUGACGCUGAGGAGCGAAAGUGUGGGGAGCGAACAGG
rnacentral:rRNA from 1 species